CUGACCUUCACACGUCCCAGCACCUUAUAGAAGACACUUGCUCCCCUCAAAGAGAUUGCACCCUAGAGGCAUUGCUCUGCUCUCUGGCCAUUGCUGCAGUGUUGUUGGUGAAUUAGAAAAAGGUCAACUCUUCUAGACAAGGCCCAAUGAAGACUGGAUUUCAAAUCCCUCAGCUGGGAAACGAAGCAGUCCACAGUUUGCACAACCAUACACAUCAGCCCUGCUCACCCCUCGUAACUGGUCAGCCGGAGUCUCUACCUGACAUCUGUGACUCCAGUCUUGCCUGACCCUCGAGCAAACAUCUCAUGCUCCUGCUGGCCCUGCGCCUUUACAGUGCUGUUCCCUUGGCUUGGCCUGUACCUCCACCACCACCUUUCUGGUCAACUCUGACUCACCCGACAAGAUUCAGCUCCAACCUCACUGCGAUGGACUGAAUGUUUAUGUCCCUCCUCCCCAAAUCCCAAUCUCCAGUGUGAUGGUAUUGCAAGGCGGGGCUUACGGGAGGUGAUGAGGUCAUGAGGGUAGAGCCUUCAUGAAUGGGAUUGGUGCCCUUAUAAAAGAGACCUCACAGAGCUCUCUGGCACCUUCUGCCAUACAAGGACACAGCAAGAAGGCAGCAGUCUGUGAAUCAGGAAGUGACCCCCACCUGACACUGAAUCUGCCUACACCUUGAUCUUGAGCGUCCCAGCCUCCAGGACUGUGAAGAACAAAUUUCUGUUGUUUAUAAGCAGCCCAAACAGACAAAGAUGGUCCUCUUACCCCAAAGUUGUCCCUGACUCUCCUCCUAGGAACCACCGCUCCCUGCCAGGCUGGGGCCUCCCACAUCCCCUGGGCAUAGCUGGAUGAUUGCCCUGCUCGUCACCCCCGGCUCCCUUUUCUGCCUUUUCAACCAGCCUGUGGGUGCUGCACGGGAGAGCGAGUAACCAGCCGUUCAUCCUUUGUCUCUUUGUAACCAGUCCUUACAAAGGACAGGACCUGCAGACAAAGUAAGUUACAGUUCCAACUCUACCACGUUAUGCUGUUGAGAACUUAAGCAAGUUACUCGAUUUUUCCCAGCUUCGGUUUUCCCGGCUGUAAAGUGUGGAUAACAAUAGCACCUACUUGGCACCUUUCAGGAAUAGGAGAGCAGAGACGGAGGCCUCAUGGGUCUGGGUUCUCGGUUGAGGUAGAGGGAGAAGACAGUGGCUAUAUCCACAAAGCCCGGAAUGCGGCGUAAUUACCUCCAGGACUCAUCACCGUUAACCCAGCCUGGGCUUCACGACAGGCACAGAAAUGGAUUCCUUAACAAUAAAAAAGUAAUAAUACAGGGGCGCCUGGGUGGCACAGCGGUUAAGCGUCUGCCUUCGGCUCAGGGCGUGAUCCUGGCGUUAUGGGAUCGAGCCCCACGUCAGGCUCCUCCGCUAUGA